UCACAUGUUUGGCUAUGCCACUGACGAGACACCGGAGUUGAUGCCCCUUAGCCAUGUUCUUGCUACCAAACUUGGAGCUCGCCUUACUGAGGUCCGCAAGAAUGGAACUUGCUCUUGGCUUAGACCUGAUGGUAAAACACAAGUGACUGUUGAGUAUCACAAUGACAAUGGUGCUAUGGUUCCUCUACGUGUUCACACUGUUUUAAUCUCCACUCAGCAUGAUGAGACUGUUACCAAUGAUGAAAUUGCUCGUGAUCUCAAAGAGCAUGUCAUCAAGCCUGUCAUCCCCGAGAAGUAUCUUGAUGAGAACACCAUUUUCCACCUCAACCCUUCAGGCCGUUUUGUCAUUGGUGGACCUCACGGUGAUGCUGGUCUCACUGGCCGUAAGAUCAUCAUUGACACUUACGGAGGUUGGGGUGCUCACGGAGGUGGUGCUUUCUCUGGGAAGGAUCCUACCAAGGUCGACAGAAGUGGAGCCUAUAUCGUGAGGCAAGCAGCUAAGAGCAUUGUUGCUAACGGUCUUGCCAGAAGGUGCAUUGUUCAGGUUUCAUAUGCCAUCGGUGUGCCUGAGCCA
rnacentral:misc_RNA from 1 species